CCUACGGGUGGCAGCAGUGAGGAAUAUUGGGCAAUGGAGGAAACUCUGACCCAGCCAUGCCGCGUGAGUGAAGAAGGUUUUCGGAUUGUAAAGCUCUUUCGGAUGUGACGAUGAUGACGGUAGCAUCUAAAGAAGCCCCGGCUAACUUCGUGCCAGCAGCCGCGGUAAUACGAAGGGGGCAAGCGUUGUUCGGAAUUACUGGGCGUAAAGGGAGUGUAGGCGGUUUAGUAAGAGAGUGGUGAAAUCCCAGGGCUUAACUUUGGAAUUGCCAUUAUAACUAUUAGACUAGAAUUACAGAGAGGAUAGUGGAAUACCCAGUGUAGAGGUGAAAUGCGUAGAUAUCAGGAGGAAUACCGUUAGCGAAGGCGGCAAUCUGGCUGGAAACUGACGCUGAGGUGCGAAAGCGUGGGGAGCAAACAGGAUUAGAUACCCCAGUAGUC
rnacentral:rRNA from 1 species